GCGCUCUUAGUGUAACCGGAUAGCACAUGAGAUUUCGGUCCUCAUGAUCCGGGUUCGAGUCCCGGGGAGCGCA
rfam:Lactobacillus oris PB013-T2-3 contig00002, whole genome shotgun sequence.